UUUACUUAUGGGUGCACAUCUGUUCAUUGCUCGCUGAGGCCAGAAGAGAACAUCAGAUGUCCUGGAUCUGGAGUUAUCACACACAGAUAACUUGUGAGCCGCCACAUGCUAUAAAUCUAACCCAGGCCCUCUGGAAGGGCCUCACUGUGUUGCACAAGAAGACCUAGGACCCAGGUUUUCCUGCUUUAGUCUCCAAAGUGCUGGCAUUACCAACAAUACAUAAAAACAUGAGGCAGGGCACUCAGUGGGUAAAGUGAUUGCUGUCCAUGUAAGCCUGAAGCUAGAGUUCGAAUCCCCAGAAUCAGUGUAAGCCAGCUGUAACAAUACACAUCUGUAAUAACUG